rnacentral:rRNA from 1 species
GUAGGGUCCAAGCGUUAAUCGGAAUUACUGGGCGUAAAGCGUGCGCAGGCGGUUGUGCAAGACCGAUGUGAAAUCCCCGGGCUUAACCUGGGAAUUGCAUUGGUGACUGCACGGCUAGAGUGUGUCAGAGGGGGGUAGAAUUCCACGUGUAGCAGUGAAAUGCGUAGAGAUGUGGAGGAAUACCGAUGGCGAAGGCAGCCCCCUGGGAUAACACUGACGCUCAUGCACGAAAGCGUGGGGGGGAGCAAACAGGAUUAGAUACCCUGGUAGUCCACGCCCCUAAACGAUGUCAACUAGUUGUUGGGGAUUCAUUUCCUUAGUAACGUAGCUAACGCGUGAAGUUGACCGCCUGGGAGUACGGUCGCAAGAUUA